CAAUAUACCCCUGGUUUUCCCAUUCUGUAUCAUUCUUAUUUGUCCUUUCGGCCUGAACACAUCCAAAUUUGUUGUGUAGUCUCAAAUUAUUUCUUUUUGUUCGGUUCAAUAACUUUUACGGAUUAAUCAUGUGCUGCGGACCCUGUGGACCUUGCUGUGGACCCUGCUGUGGGCCGUGCGGACCGUGCUGUGGACCAUGCGGCGGAGGAUGUGGACCCUGCUAUGGACCCAAUGUCUGCGGGCCAUGCUAUGCCUGUGGACCCUGUGGCGGCUGCUACUGUGGGUAUCCCUGCUGUUAGGCCAGAUAGUAGGGGAUCCCCUGGAGGGGUUGAAUACUACCCACCAUGCUCCAUCCUGAAACCAGUCGAAAUAACAUCUACAAUUCAUCUAAUAUUCGUGAACCACAA